GAUCAUGGCUCAGGACGAACGCUGGCGGCGCGCCUAACACAUGCAAGUCGAACGAGAGAGAAGGGGCUUGCUUCUUCGAUCGAGUGGCGAACGGGUGAGUAACGCGUGAGGAACCUACCUCAAAGAGGGAGACAACAGUUGGAAACGACUGCUAAUACCGCAUAAGACCACAGCACCGCAUGGUGCAGGGGUAAAAACUCCGGUGGUACAGGAUGGACCCGCGUCUGAUUAGCUGGUUGGUGAGG
rnacentral:rRNA from 1 species